rnacentral:rRNA from 1 species
GAGACAGCAGCAGCCACGGGAAUACGUAGGGUGCGAGCGUUAAUCGGAAUUACUGGGCGUAAAGCGUGCGCAGGCGGUUAUAUAAGACAGACGUGAAAUCCCCGGGCUCAACCUGGGACCUGCAUUUGUGACUGUAUAGCUAGAGUACGGUAGAGUGGGAUGGAAUUCCGCGUGUAGCAGUGAAAUGCGUAGAUAUGCGGAGGAACACCGAUGGCGAAGGCAAUCCCCUGGACCUGUACUGACGCUCAUGCACGAAGGCGUGGGGAGCAAACAGGAUUAGAUACCCGCGUAGUCCCUGUCUCUUAUAC